UUUCUGCAGUUGAAAAGCUCAUAGCUGAAUCUUGGGAUCGAGCUGGCAGUCUGCAGCAUGGUGAACCACUGCCUGUCAAAACCUCUGCCCCUCGGUGCCCCCUCGAUGCUGUUAGCUAAGUGCCCCAUGGGGCCCAAAGCAUUUACUUUGAGAAAAUUAGUCUUCAAAGCAGUCCUGCUGCCAGCAUACUGCAGCUAGGAAUAAUGGAAUAGGACUCUGGUUCUAUUUGCUGGUUUUCGGAAAUGGGGCCAUAAUUAAGAAGGAUGGCUGAGGGCAUUCAUAUUGUGCCACUAGAGGUGAAAUUCUUGGAAAAGUGCAAGAUGGCUUGGGAGAAAGCAUUUGCCAAGAAUGUUUUCCUUAAUCAAGAACAAAAGUCGGAGGUUCGAAGAUGAUCAGAUACCAUUGCAGUACCGACUACAAACAGCGCUGACUGGUAAUAUGGUGGUGUUAUUCCUAUGACCAGCCAGGAAGCUCUUCUAUGCCUGGAAAAAUCUUGGAGCAGAUUCUC
rnacentral:ncRNA from 1 species